GCCCCAUUGGCCUAAUGGUCUCAAGGCGUGUGACUUCUAAUCACAAGAUUGCGAGUUCGAGUCUCGCAUGGGGUU